rnacentral:rRNA from 1 species
GAUGAACGCUGGCGGCGUGCCUAAUACAUGCAAGUCGAACGAGUUCUCGUUGAUGAUCGGUGCUUGCACCGAGAUUCAACAUGGAACGAGUGGCGGACGGGUGAGUAACACGUGGGUAACCUGCCCUUAAGUGGGGGAUAACAUUUGGAAACAGAUGCUAAUACCGCAUAGAUCCAAGAACCGCAUGGUUCUUGGCUGAAAGAUGGCGUAAGCUAUCGCUUUUGGAUGGACCCGCGGCGUAUUAGCUAGUUGGUGAGGUAAUGGCUCACCAAGGCGAUGAUACGUAGCCGAACUGAGAGGUUGAUCGGCCACAUUGGGACUGAGACACGGCCCAAACUCCUACGGGAGGCAGCAGUAGGGAAUCUUCCACAAUGGACGCAAGUCUGAUGGAGCAACGCCGCGUGAGUGAAGAAGGCUUUCGGGUCGUAAAACUCUGUUGUUGGAGAAGAAUGGUCGGCAGAGUAACUGUUGUCGGCGUGACGGUAUCCAACCAGAGAGCCACGGCUAACUACGUGCCAGCAGCCGCGGUAAUACGUAGGUGGCAAGCGUUAUCCGGAUUUAUUGGGCGUAAAGCGAGCGCAGGCGGUUUUUUAAGUCUGAUGUGAAAGCCCUCGGCUUAACCGAGGAAGCGCAUCGGAAACUGGGAAACUUGAGUGCAGAAGAGGACAGUGGAACUCCAUGUGUAGCGGUGAAAUGCGUAGAUAUAUGGAAGAACACCAGUGGCGAAGGCGGCUGUCUGGUCUGUAACUGACGCUGAGGCUCGAAAGCAUGGGUAGCGAACAGGAUUAGAUACCCUGGUAGUCCAUGCCGUAAACGAUGAAUGCUAGGGUGUUGGAGGGUUUCCGCCCUUCAGUGCCGCAGCUAACGCAUUAAGCAUUCCGCCUGGGGAGUACGACCGCAAGGUUGAAACUCAAAGGAAUUGACGGGGGCCCGCACAAGCGGUGGAGCAUGUGGUUUAAUUCGAAGCAACGCGAAGAACCUUACCAGGUCUUGACAUCUUUUGAUCACCUGAGAGAUCAGGCUUCCCCUUCGGGGGCAAAAUGACAGGUGGUGCAUGGUUGUCGUCAGCUCGUGUCGUGAGAUGUUGGGUUAAGUCCCGCAACGAGCGCAACCCUUAUGACUAGUUGCCAGCAUUUAGUUGGGCACUCUAGUAAGACUGCCGGUGACAAACCGGAGGAAGGUGGGGAUGACGUCAAAUCAUCAUGCCCCUAAUGACCUGGGCUACACACGUGCUACAAUGGAUGGUACAACGAGUUGCGAGACCGCGAUGUCAAGCUAAUCUCUUAAAGCCAUUCUCAGUUCGGACUGUAGGCUGCAACUCGCCUACACGAAGUCGGAAUCGCUAGUAAUCGCGGAUCAGCACGCCGCGGUGAAUACGUUCCCGGGCCUUGUACACACCGCCCGUCACACCAUGAGAGUUUGUAACACCCGAAGCCGGUGGCGUAACCCUUUUAGGGAGCGAGCCGUCUAAGGUGGGACAAAUGAUUAGGGUGAAG